rnacentral:misc_RNA from 1 species
UAAUAAGUGUUUUAUGGCACUUUUUAAAUCCAUAUCCACCUUGUGUGCGAAUGUCAGUCGAUCUUCUUUAUGGAGAUCGACCAAACAUCAACCUUUAUCUUUUAACAUCUUUGUCUGAAAAAUAUUACGAAUAAACAAUUCAAAAUA